rnacentral:rRNA from 1 species
GGCAGGGCGGCUGCUAUACAUGCAGUCGAGCGGACAGAUGGGAGCUUGCUCCCUGAUGUUAGCGGCGGACGGGUGAGUAACACGUGGGUAACCUGCCUGUAAGACUGGGAUAACUCCGGGAAACCGGGGCUAAUACCGGAUGGUUGUUUGAACCGCAUGGUUCAGACAUAAAAGGUGGCUUCGGCUACCACUUACAGAUGGACCCGCGGCGCAUUAGCUAGUUGGUGAGGUAACGGCUCACCAAGGCGACGAUGCGUAGCCGACCUGAGAGGGUGAUCGGCCACACUGGGACUGAGACACGGCCCAGACUCCUACGGGAGGCAGCAGUAGGGAAUCUUCCGCAAUGGACGAAAGUCUGACGGAGCAACGCCGCGUGAGUGAUGAAGGUUUUCGGAUCGUAAAGCUCUGUUGUUAGGGAAGAACAAGUGCCGUUCAAAUAGGGCGGCACCUUGACGGUACCUAACCAGAAAGCCACGGCUAACUACGUGCCAGCAGCCGCGGUAAUACGUAGGUGGCAAGCGUUGUCCGGAAUUAUUGGGCGUAAAGGGCUCGCAGGCGGUUUCUUAAGUCUGAUGUGAAAGCCCCCGGCUCAACCGGGGAGGGUCAUUGGAAACUGGGGAACUUGAGUGCAGAAGAGGAGAGUGGAAUUCCACGUGUAGCGGUGAAAUGCGUAGAGAUGUGGAGGAACACCAGUGGCGAAGGCGACUCUCUGGUCUGUAACUGACGCUGAGGAGCGAAAGCGUGGGGAGCGAACAGGAUUAGAUACCCUGGUAGUCCACGCCGUAAACGAUGAGUGCUAAGUGUUAGGGGUUUCCGCCCCUUAGUGCUGCAGCUAACGCAUUAAGCACUCCGCCUGGGGAGUACGGUCGCAAGACUGAAACUCAAAGGAAUUGACGGGGGCCCGCACAAGCGGUGGAGCAUGUGGUUUAAUUCGAAGCAACGCGAAGAACCUUACCAGGUCUUGACAUCCUCUGACAAUCCUAGAGAUAGGACGUCCCCUUCGGGGGCAGAGUG